CACGUAGUUAGCCGGGGCUUCUUGUGAAGGUACCGUCAAGCCGGUUCGCUAUUAACGGCCGGCCCUUCGUCCCAACUGAAAGUGGUUUACAACCCGAAGGCCGUCUUCCCACACGCGGCGUUGCUGCGUCACGCUUUCGCGCAUUGCGCAAGAUUCCCCACUGCUGCCUCCCGUAGGAGUCUGGGCCGUGUCUCAGUCCCAGUGUGGCUGAUCGUCCUCUCAGACCAGCUACGCAUCGUCGCCUUGGUAGGCCGUUACCCCACCAACAAGCUAAUGCGCCGCGGGCCCAUCCCAGUGCGGAGGCCGAAGCUUCCUUUCCUCAAGCUCAUCAAGAGCAGGAGCACAUUCGGUAUUAGCCCGUCUUUCGACGGGUUGUCCCGAUCACCAGGGCAGGUUACCCACGUGUUACUCACCCGUUCGCGGCUCUGCCAGGACCGAAGUCCCUUCGUCGCUCCACUUGCAUGUGUUAAGCGCGCCGCCAGCGUGUCCUCGUAGCCGACGAGUCAAACGUAC
rnacentral:rRNA from 1 species